rnacentral:lncRNA from 1 species
UUUUAUUUUAUUUUUGAAUUAAUUGUCACCUCAUAUUUCUUCCAAAUAGGAAUGACACCACUUGUACACCGAAAGGAAUGACACUACUUAGUUGUUGCAUCCAUAUCUAUCAUUUCCUUUUUCUUUUGAAUUAACUAUCACCUCAUAUUGCUUCUAGAUAGGAAUGACCUUAACCGUUGAAUCCAUAUCUAACAUUUCCUCUUUAGAAUGAAUUGUCACCUCACCUCAUAUUGCUUCUAGAUAUGAAUGGCACUACUUAGCCGUUGAAACCAUAUCUAACAUUUCCUUUUUCUUUUCAAUUAAGUACUAUCACCUCAUAUUGCUUCUAGGCAUGAAUGACACUACUUAACCGUUGAAUCUAUGUCUAACAUUUCCUUUUUCUUUUGAAUUAACCGCCACCUCAUAUUGCUUCUGGAUGUAGGAUUAGAUAUACUAAUCACCACCGUCUUCAAGUUCACACAAAACUCAAAGACCAACUCUAAUUGCCUUAGCAAAGCUGGAAAUUCGAUUGCCAUCACUUUACAUGUUUUCAUGGAGUAACAAUAAAUAAUAAUGGGAAAACAAAAUAAUUCUCACUCGUGGUUGGGGUAUCAUAUAUAAGGAUUGAUGUAGUAAUUUUGUAAAAGGGUAGAUUUAGUUUAUUUUCUUCUUCAUGAUAGUUUACUUAUUUGUUGCCAAAGAACACACUGUAAAUUGAAUCCUUACUUCCUCAAAGGUUACAAGUUAAUAGUAUCUUACACCUUGAUAGGUAUGCCUUUAGUAUUAUGUUUUUUUUAAAAGAUAUUGCUUUAGUAUUUUUAUUUUUAUUUACUUUUUAGAUGGAUGGUUAUGAUAUUUCAUAAAAAAAAAAAAAUAAAAAAUAAAAAAUAAAAACAUGAUAUGGUCAUAAUAUGUUGCAAG